GGGUCGAGAGAGAGAGAGAGAGAGAGAGAGAGAGAGAGAGAGAGAGAGAGAGAGAGAGAGAGAGAGAGAGAGAGAGAGAGAUGUGAAGCAUCGAUACAGCUGUGAAGUUUGACCCUGCAACAGAUGUGUCCACUAGGGGGUCCUAGGAGUAUCACCUUCAUAAUCCCCCCCCCCCCCCCCCGAUCUUUGCAUAGAGCGUACGUAGACAGCUCUUUUGAUUAGGCUUCCACGCGCGACUUCGGAGGGAUGAGCGGUGGACAGCUCGAGCAGGAGGAGCGUCUCGCGGUUUACCCAUUACAGGCGGGAGGAGAGCAGACGAUUGCCCUCGUUUCAUUUUGAACGACCGUAGCACAACAGAUGUAGCAGACACCACAGUUCGGUCUUCCGUUUCUGUAGCCAACCUUCCGCGCCGCGUGCGUGUGGCGGGUUAUUCGGUCCGAAUCAGCGCGCACAGUUUAAGCCAUUUACGUGUAUCAGAUUUCAGGAGAAUUGUCCGGAUGUCAUCUCUAGUAGUAGUAUUUUUUUCUCCCGGUAAAGGGGGUUUAAGUCGCGCCGUAUUGCCUCGCGUUCUCUGUGGAUGUGUGACCGAUGGGGUUCCCGAUGCUCGUCAUUUACCACGAAGGACCGAGCGUGAUGCACACCGCCUGUUUGGGAUCGAACCCCCACGUGAACCUCUCCAUUAAGCCGGGAUUUUAAUUUAAAAUCCUGUAACACACAUUGAACUGUACCUGCUGAUGAGUAGGAGACAUCGCGAGGAAAAUGGGCGUCAUGUGGGACCAUGCAAGCUGAGAUCAAGUUAGAAGAACACGACAGAAUAGAAUAGAGACCCAGAGAGAACAACAACAGUGAUCAGACAAGACAGCACUAGAGAACAGAGAGGAGAACACUAGAGACCCAGCCAGUAAAACAUUAGAGACCCAGAGAGGACAACACUAGAGACCCAGAGAG